rnacentral:rRNA from 1 species
UACAGAGGGGGCAAGCGUUGUUCGGAAUUACUGGGCGUAAAGGGCGCGUAGGCGGCCUGCUAAGUCGAACGUGAAAUCCCCGGGCUCAACCCGGGAACUGCGUCCGAUACUGGCAGGCUUGAAUUCGGGAGAGGGAUGCGGAAUUCCAGGUGUAGCGGUGAAAUGCGUAGAUAUCUGGAGGAACACCGGUGGCGAAGGCGGCAUCCUGGACCGAUACUGACGCUGAGGAGCGAAAGCCAGGGGAGCAAACGGG